rnacentral:snRNA from 1 species
CUCAGAACCAUGUGGGUGGGAGGCACACUAAAACUGGAGCAAUACAGAAAAGAUUAGCAUGGCCCUUGUGCAAGGAUGACAUGCAAAUUUAUGAAGUGUUCUAUAUUUCU